UGCCCGUUUAAACCAGUUUCACUUCAAGGAAACCAUGGCAUUUCCUCUAAGUCCUGUAACAUAGCUGUUAAACCACAGAGCACUGACCCAUAAUGCUGCCCAGCUGUAGGUUGAUCAGGUUAUGGUCUCCUUAGAGACCUGGGGCCGUAGCUAUCGACCCCCCCCGGGGCAGUAGGUAUCGACCCCCCCGGGGCGGUAGCUAUCGACCCCCCCGGGGCGGUAGCUAUCGUCCCCCCCGGGGCGGUAGCUAUCGACCCCCCCGGGGCGGUAGCUAUCGACCCCCCCGGGGCGGUAGCUAUCGACCCCCCCGGGGCGGUAGCUAUCGACCCCCCCGGGGCGGUAGCUAUCGACCCCCCCCGGGGCGGUAGCUAUCGACCCCCCCCGGGGCGGUAGCUAUCGACCCCCCGGGGCGGUAGCUAUCGACCCCCCGGGGCGGUAGCUAUCGACCCCCCGGGGCGGUAGGUAUCGACCCCCCGGGGCGGUAGGUAUCGACCCUCCGGGGCGGUAGGUAUCGACCCUCCGGGGCAGUAGGUAUCGACCCUCCGGGGCAGUAGGUAUCGACCCUCCGGGGCCGUAGGUAUCGACCCUCCGGGGCCGUAGGUAUCAACGUUCUCAGAGUAGGCGUGGUGCUAUAGGGUCAGUUCCCCUCUACAGGCAAUCUAAAGGCGUCCACAUACAUAGGUUGGGUUUGCUC
ensembl:lncRNA